UUUCCAUUACUUAUUCAGGAGCUGAUUACUUUUAUUGAGCUUAUUAAGAAUCCUAGGUACAACUUCUGGAGCCGUACUUUCACUAGAUGUGCACCAGAGAUUGAGAAUCUCCACGGACAAGGAGGUAAAAUUUUCAUUUUAGCAAGUUUUUUCCUUUUUAAUUUUUCUAACGGGUAAAAGGUGGAAUUUUUCCCCAAGGCCUUAACUUUUAAAGGCUGCACAACUGGAGAGAGCUUUCUUGUGUAUAAAAUACAAAGCUUAUGUUAUAUCACACCUAAUCUAAACUACUACAACAGUUAGAGUUUGCAAUUCGAAGCUCAGAUUUCGUCCCCUUAUCAAUUCAGGAUAACAAAUUUCCUAGUCGAUCUUGGCCCAUUUUAAUGCCAGAUACACAGAGCCAAAAACAGAGGAGCACUUACCUAAGCGAGCCAGAGAUGAGCAGUGAUGAACCAGCGAUGAACCAGUGAGAUCUUGGUGCUUCGUCUUCGACACUCGGCAGCGAUGAACCAGCACGGCAGGACACAGCCGACAGGA